GUGCUAUUUUGUUUCUUAGGGUGAUUUAGGUGCCUGUUGCUUUAUUUUUUUUCCCAAUCAGUUUUCAGCUCGAUUGGCCACUAGUCACUAGAACCUUAGCAUAUCCUGAGUUAGAAGGGAACCCCAAGGAUCAUCAAGUCCAUCUCCUGGCUCUACACAGGCCCACCCAAAAAUCAGACCCUAUGCUGAGGGCGUUGCUGUGACCACUGCCCUGGGGAGCCUGUCCCAGUACCUGACCACCUCUGGGUGCAGACCCUUUCCCUAACCCCCAGCCUGACCCUCCCCUGUCCCAGCUCCAUGCCAUUCCCUCGGGUCCUGUCGCUGUCCCCAGAGAGCAGAGCUCAGCGCCUGCCCCUCCGCUCCCUGUGAGGGAGCUGCAGGCCGCCAUGAGGCCUCCCCUCAGCCUGCUCUGCUCUGGGCUGGACAAACCCAGGGACCUCAGCCAAUACUUAUGCAUCUUGGACUCUAGGCCCUUCACCAUCUUCACAGCCCUCCUUUGGACACUCUCCAAUAUUUUUCUGUCCUUCUUAUAUUGUAGUGCCCAAAACUGCACAUAGUACUGGAGGUGAGGCUGCACCAACAUGGAGUAGAACUGGAUCUACCAAUCCCGAUUCUAUAUCUAGCACUACUGAUGAGUUUACCUAAUAUACAUAAUAGGCAGCAAAGCUUUCAAUUUCUAUAUUUUAUCUCCUAAUUAAGUCAGUCUGUGUAUUUAACCAACUUAUUUAUAAGGAAACAGAUACAUGCUGCCCCUCCUUCCCUGGUAAAAUCCAGGCUCUAUCACUUGUAUUUGCAAUUGUUUCAGCAUACUGAGGAAAAAAAAAUCUGCUGAAGUAGGUAUUUAUAUCAAGAGAUGAAAUAUGUAACAGUUUAGCUGUAAGAUUUUGGACCUAUUUGUCACUUUCGCUACUCUUUUAUUCUAUGAGCACAUAGAUUGUUUUGCCAUAGUGCAUGACUAAAGUGAUUUCAUGGCUGUACUGCAUCAGAAUUAUCUUCUCUAAAUUGCCAGCACCAGUUACCUGCUGUGAAAUGUUUGCUUUGGACUGCAGGAGAAUUCGCUCAGUAAAUAUGGGCCAGAAGACAGUCAUUAGUGGAGUACUGCCAGUAAAUACCCAGAUGAGGGGUCUGCCUUGCACAGAGCAGGCUCAACGAGACCUGGAGCUCAGACACCCACACUGCAAGGCCAACACCACUGAAGGGACAAAAUCUCUUCCUGAAGGAGGACCAUGUCCAAAACUCUAAGUAACCUACUUGUAGUCCAGCAGCUGACUUAUUUCAGAUGCAGACCAUUUCUCUUGUGACAGGUGAUCUAUGCAAGCAAGUACCAACAAUUGUCACAGGACAAGUGAUGGAUGACUCCACGCCUGCUGUCCAAAUUCCCAUUUUAGCCCACAGCUUCGUUCAGAGCGGUGCUGUAAAUCUGCACAGCUGCAGAGGAGCCUAGGUAGAAAACUUAAAGAAGCUAAAAGGUUUGGCCAAUUAGUCUUUAAAUAAGCCUUCAAAGGCUGGAAAAAGGGUUGGGUGAGACAUUAAUUUGAAGCAGUUUGAUCUAUACAUAUACACAUUGCUGACAGGAAGAAGACAGCAGAGAACUAAUAGAAAGGAAAAAAUACUAAGCUGAACUGUGGGAAAGGAAACAAGGGUAAAAAUGGUUUUAAUGCAAUAAGAUCUAUCAUGCAGAGUUGAAAAGUCAGACUGUGAAAAGCCAAUUAGUGCACUGAAUAUGAAAAGCACAGGAAUUAAAUAUAGGGAGGAUCAUCAAAGUGAGCUGAAAUAUAGAUGUUCCCAGCAUGCAGACAUAAAGGAACAUCAGUUGAGUACAUAAGGAAAUGUUUUUAUAAAGAAACGAAAUGUACUGACAAUUCAAUAAAAACAAGCCCAUAUUCUGUAACA
rnacentral:lncRNA from 1 species